rnacentral:lncRNA from 1 species
UUUAAGGGCAUAUCCAACAGUUUCAGGGGAGGUAAUAACAAACGUAACCGUCGUCUAUUGUUUCCCGUAAUUUAACGUUGUUUCAACGACGUCAUAACGGAAUCACCAUUGGCUAUGGCCGUCUGGCAAGGGCAGUUUCUUUCCUCAAAGGAAAGGGCACGGCGGGAAUCGGCAGAAAACUCAUUCAGAAUAUUAAGGAUGUACUUUGGUGAGGUUAGGUAAAAUUUAAGAAAUUAAGAAAUUAAAAUUGAUACUAUAAGCUGAUAGAGCAUCAAUUAAGGAUAAAGAUAAGCUAAACAUAUUGCUAGGUCAUGGACCUCCUUUUCGAGAUAUUUGAGAUUUAAAAUAUGGCGGGAAAAGGCUGACUCUGACUUUUACCUUAUAUUUGCAUUGGUAUUAUUUGGGUCUCAAAACAAAAGAAAGAAAAUAAAGAAUCUUCGAAUAUUUUGGUAAAUGACCUUUCAUGAGCUAUUAAAUCUUAUAUGAAAAAAAUAAAUGGGUGUUAUGGGGCAAAAUAUUUUACAUUGUAUUGUAUGGAAAAACACCAAGGAGUCCGAACAUUUGACCCAAAUUCCAAAACCUCACCUAAGUACAUCCUUAACAGAAUAGAAGUCAAAUCUCAAAA